CCUACGGGGGGCAGCAGUGGGGAAUAUUGGACAAUGGGGGCAACCCUGAUCCAGCAAUACCGCGUGUGUGAAGAAGGCCUGAGGGUUGUAAAGCACUUUCAGUGGGGAGGAGGUUGAUUAGGUUAAGAGCUAGAUUAAUGGACGUUACCCACAGAAGAAGCACCGGCUAACUCCGUGCCAGCAGCCGCGGUAAUACGGAGGGUGCAAGCGUUAAUCGGAAUUACUGGGCGUAAAGGGUGCGUAGGUGGUCUGAUAAGUUAUUUGUGAAAUCCCUGGGCUCAACCUGGGCAGGUCAGAUAAAACUGUUAGACUCGAGUAUGGGAGAGGGUAGUGGAAUUUCCGGUGUAGCGGUGAAAUGCGUAGAGAUCGGAAGGAACACCAGUGGCGAAGGCGGCUACCUGGCCUAAUACUGACACUGAGGCACGAAAGCGUGGGGAGCAAACAGGAUUAGAUACCCCAGUAGUC
rnacentral:rRNA from 1 species